UUUGUUUUUUUCAGUCCUUUGAAUGGAGUGCCAAGAACUUAGAAAUGCCUGGUGCAGACCCAGACCACCAGGGACAAAUAACACAAGAACAAUAAAAAUGGAGCCAACAACCUGUUUAAUUGGGAUUAUAAUAUAGUAAUUGAAAUGGGUCAGAGAAUGAGAACCUUGACACCAAAAUAUGAGUUAGGGUCAUCAUCAGCAUUAUGGGUAAUGAUAAGUGCUAUGAUAUGACCCUGGGAGAGAUAACUAAGGUUUGCCAGGUGUGUUGACUGUUAUAGACAUGGAGUCAAGAAAUUCCACACCCACGUCUAUAAGUAUGCAAGAUACAUAGAUAAAUAUAGAACAGAGAAGAGGAAGAGACUACACCAGGUGUUGGGAUCAUCCAGGGGUGGAGUUGAGUCUCCAGAUACUGUCAGGAGGCUAACAGGCAUAGGUUUUGGGCUGUGGUCUAAAGGGAAAAGGUUUCAGAAGUGUCGUUGAGAAAAGGAGGCUCCUUAGUCUAAUCUCCAAGCUCUGGUGCACGUGGAGUCGCCACCUGGCAGGGCUUUGAUGGCCGACCAGACCAGGCUUUCAUGAGAAUGAAAAGAUGAAGAAAAGGUUUAUGAAAGCGAGGCCAUCAAGGAUUUUGUCAAUGAGUGAUCUCAGUUGCAGAAUGUACAAAGAAAUUGUUGAGAGACUCAGAACUGGAUCAGAAUAACGAGUGUACAGAUAUAUAUUGAUAAGGAGGUUACCUGCCCGUGGGGAUGUAAGGAGAUUUUCCCUGAAGCUGUUAGAGGACGGGGAUGAGAUUGACACCUCAGCUUUCAUCUGCUUCAUAGGUCUACUUCACAGGCAGGCUGGGAGAGAUCCUAUUUCCAAAGUUCACUGGGCUUUGAAAGAACUUAGUAGACAAGUAUGCUCUUAACUGGAACACCAAGAAUUUGCAUUUCCCUUGUGUUUUAUGACAGAGCUAUUAGGAUUUGCUGAGUCAAAAACUAGACUUCUAUAAGUCUAAAUAAAUGCUAAUAAUAAGCAAACCACAUCCUCUUGAGUACAUAUAUAUUCCAAUUAACUUUUUCUCCUAAUUUAAACAUACAGUGUGUACAGACCAACUAACAUGUAGAAAGACAUUCAAGACUAGUUCACAUUUAUAACAUGCUUCAUAGUAAACAUACUUUAAAGACCCUUUCUUUUGGUUGAAUCUAACAAGCUUUUUUCUUAGGAGGUAUGAAAGGUGACCUUUAUAUUUCCAUUAGAAGGAGAGACACAGGGGUCAGCAAGGCUAACUGACCACUCAGAGGCCCAUAGCUAGGUGAUAGGAAUGCUCACACUAGAAGGUAAGCCUCCACUAACUGUUCUUUCUACUGUGUCUACUUUCAAAACAACCUCAGAUUAGCUCAACCCCAGACCAUUUUUGGUCUUCCUGGUCUUCCUGUACCAAAGAAAGCCCAGGAACGCCUCAUAGAUAACAUAAGGACCACCCAUUCCUAGGAUGUGUUAUCAUCCGAUGUAAACUAUUUUUAUCAUAUUUUCCUCUGAGUUCACAAAGAUAGCUUUCCAUUUCCAAAUUAUGGUUAAAACCAAGUAUCCUGUUAGGCAAACGUUAUCUACAGAGAAGUCUCACGGUGAAGUGAGGCAACUGAGAUCAACAUUUUCCUGCUCUCUGCCUCUGUGUAUUUUUGUUGGCUCAGAACCUAUGGGUGGAAAUUCCAAGACUUCCAUAUCAAAUAUUGUACAAGCUGGAUAGUCAUUUGCCAUAUUAUAGCUAAAAGAAGGCUUAGGGAGAAUAUCCUGUUUUUGCUACUUUUGUGCCAGGAUAGAUAGGGCGAGUACCCCGUGAUUAAGAUAUUUCAAAUGGAAAUUGUAACUGAAACAUUACAAAGCACCUAAAAGUUUCCCCGACAGGAUUUGGAGAACCUAAAAAGGCAACAAAUAAAAAGUGAAUAUGUAGAAUAUUUCAUAUGGAAAUGAAAGUAACUUAUUCUAGGAGAUUUCUCCAUGUAAGCGACCCUGACACCUAGAAAGCAGUGGUCCCUGCCACCGUCACCAUCUGAGGCUGAGGUCAUGACCCACCACCCAGAACCACCCUCCUUUCACAUCUCUCACAAUUCCAGAAGGAGGAAAAAAAGUCUAGACUUUUCAUCUUCAUCUCAGAGCUGAAAUAUUUCAGGAAAUGACUGUAACAAGCUGCGUUCUCCCCCACCCCCCGCCCCCAAUUCUCAAGAUUAGCAAACUAAACAUAACUCAGAAGUAAUUGUGCAGCAUAACUUAUUUCAGCAUGGUGGAUCUAGAAAGUUCAUUAUGAAGGUCAACUGAGUACAAGUCCAAGAUGGCAAAUGAGUUAUGGAAGAAGGUCUCAAAAUCAUCUAGCCCUGUGGUUCUCACUCACAGAGGCGAUUGGGCAGGAGUGCUCACAUCAAUAAUUUAUUAUUAGUAUGGCUAUUCUGUUGUUUGGAAAGGAUUCCUCCUUAAGAAACAAAUUGGAUUAGGAUGCAGACAAUUGCCUUGGGAAUGUCAUCGUUGUGGCUUGCACGGAGUGCUUUCUUGACUGUAAGGAAAGAGGUGGGGUUGGAGCCAGCUCUGGGAAUUACUGAUAACCUUCAGUCUAUCUUAUCUCAGACACAGAGAGGGAGCUAAGAGAUGAGAGCUGCUAUUUACUGUGGUUGUGGCAGCUAGGGGGAAAAAGGUGUCUGCAGUGAUGUUUGUGUUACAUCCAUCUCCACAAAACACGUGUGGGUCUCACCCCAAACUGAAUGUGUAAGUAUGAAUGUCACGUAUCCUAUGCAUGGUAGUGGAGGAAAAAUCCGACCCUUUCUGAUGAGGCUUGUUCCAUCAGAUGCAAAGGCAGGCUGAAUCAGGUAGUUCUUCCAUUUGACUCUAUGACACUGGGACAGUUGCCACAGGGUUAUGUGACAAAUUGAAAUAGUCCCUUGUGUGUCAUCAGAGGGAAAAAAAACCAUACGAUCAUUUUGAUAAGAUAUAAAAAUAAUUCCUUAAUAAAUAAAAACAGGCAGAAAAUAAAGCAGGUCCUGAUAUGUGUGAGGCAUAGGCUUGGAUCUGUUUUAUGAAGUAAUGCAGACCCCACCCUUUCUCUGUGGCACUCAAUACAUCUGCUAUUUCUCCAUGUUCUUCUCCUGGGAGAUACAGACAUUAUGAGAAUGAGAACAGUAAGGGGGGGUGUUUUAUGGCUUGCCACUCUCAUGUGGUUGGGAGAAACACAUCGUAGUUGUCCUAUAUCUGUUAAAACCAACCUCAGGCAAGGCGUUUUGCCUACACUUUGGUGUUCUUAGUAAUAUCCAUUUGACAUCUCGGGAUUGCAUAAGCCAAUGCAUGUGAAGUCAGUAGUGCACAGAAUUGUAAGCAGAAAGCAUCUCGUGAGUAUCGGCCACUGGAGAGAAAGAGAUCCUAGACCAUGUCUGAACCCUUUAGCGACUGCACGUUGCCAUGAAGCCAUGAAGCACUGUCCAAAAGAAACAUCAUUUUAUGACUUUAGACCAGCUUUGUGAAGUGGACUUUUGACCAGGGUCAUGCAACCUUUUGACACUGGGGUAUGAUAUUGGGGGGCCAUAUGAUGCUGUCCUGGGAUAUGUGGUCUGAUUGAGUCAUAGUGAGAAAAAUCCUGGAGAAUGUAAGGACUGUGCAUAAGCACUCCCUGGUACCACUUUGUGUGUUGCCCCUUUUUUCUCUCCUGUGUGGUGAUUGUUGCCAGGCCCUUCUGGAAGAAGGACAGAAGUCUCUACAUUGUCUCACAGCCUGCGCAUCACAUGCGUCAACCUGGAGACACAGUGCUGUCCUGAUGGUGAAUAAAUGGUCGUCUAGAUAUGGGGAGCUCUAAGUGUGUUCAGCAUCACCCGAAAAUGCAUUACAAGUGCAAAUGCUCAGAUGUCACCCCAGAUGCACUGGAACAGUGCCAGAGAGUUGUCAGGAAUCUCUGGGUUCUGAUGUUAUCGUGUAAGUAUAAAAGAAACUUCUUUCAGAACCCCUUCCCUCCUCGACAGCCCCCAAAAGUCUCCUUUUCUUCCUACAGAAAGGAAAUAGAAAAAAGAUCUGUCCUGUUUUUCUGAGCACAGCCUUCAUGUGUAUCACCAGUUCUGCUCAAGAAGAAGAAAUCACAGAAAAAAUGUGUUGCAAUAAAAUAGGUUUUGCAUCCUUGAUCCAACCUGAGUGGAAUUGCUGGUAAUAAGAUAAAGAAGAAAGGUCAGACCUCAGGUAUGAUGCUCACAGCCAAAGGAAGAAUGGAGAGCUUCGUAUGACCUUCCCUGAGUACAGUGCUCUUCUCUGUUCCUUGUGUGACAUCACAAGCCUCCACAAACUUAUGCAACCCAAAAUGGAAAAAGACUGAAGUAAAUGGUUUUAAAUCUGACUGUGUGUGUGUGUGUGUGUGUGUGUGUGUGUGUGUGUGUGUGUGCACGCGCACACACACACACACAUGCAUUCAGUUAUAAAAGUGUGGAAGUAUGGAUGCCACUGUGUAUGUUUGACGUCAAGAGACAACCUUGGGUAUCAGUCCUGCAUUUUCCAACUUGUUUUAGAGAGAGGCUCCCUGUUGCUCACAGAUAUGUGCACCAAGCUAGCUGGCCAUCAGAGUUCUUGGGAUGGUUCUGCUUCUCUGGGAUUCCAGACACAAGUGACUACAUCUGGUUACUGCAUCUGGCUUUACGUGUGUUCUGGGAACUCAUCCUCAAGUCUUCAUCUUGCCUCUCAAAUGCUUUACCUACUGAGUCACCUCCCUAGCUCAAGAUUACACUUCUUGCAGUACAUUUCCUACAAGCUGCCAGUCCUUCCUUUGUGAGUGAAGCCAAUGCUCUGGUCACAUGGGCUCCUCAUUGAUAGAUAGCGCUCACCGCCUCCAAUAACAAUAAUCUGGUGCACUAGAAAUAGUACUUCUGCCUUGAAAAUUAAAGACUGACAAGUGUCUAUAAUUCACUGGCAUGGGCUUUCAAGAUAAUUUUCUGAGCUGACAAGCUCUGGAGAUCGACUAAUGCAAUGGCAAUACAAAGUUUAACUGCUAGCCCUUGUUUGUUAGACACACAAAAGGAUAGCCAAAAAAAUAAAAUAAAAUAAAAUAAAAUAAAAUAAAAUAAAAUAAAAUAAAAUAAAAAUAACCUUGGGCUUAUACAAAGGGAGAGAAAUAUCAAAUUCUCUAGGAGAAGGAACUAAAAUUAAGAUACUUUAUGAUAGAUUUCUCAAAAAUAGUAUAUAAAUCCUCUGAGCUGGAGCAAACGAUUUUUGAAUUCAUAUAGCUGUUACAUCUGCAUUGCCUUUUAAAACAAUGCUCUGGAUAAGGCCCUUCAUCUCCUGAUACUGUCGCAUAGCAGCCCCAGUGGCCACGCUGCAAUGCCUCCCUUAUCUACAUGAGGUGCUCAACCCUUAAGAAAGCAUGAUAGGGUCAUUCCUGACAUUCUUACACAGACGUUACUGUCAGUUACAAGCACUUCAACUUUGAUAAUGAAUCAAAACUCUGUUUGCAAGGGAAAACACACCCCAACUUUAGUCAUGAUAGAAAUUUACUUUCCCUAAGGAAGUGAUUAAGCUCAACUUAGAAACAGGGUGGAGAGUUCUCUGGAGGAUCCUGGGAUGUGGGCAUUUGUAUUAGAUUGAAAGACUUGAAACUAUAAGUUCUUAUGUAAGAGAUACUGUCCCCUCACCCAGAAGGUCUCAAAAGAGCCAGUCCUAGGCUACCUCAUUCUAUGAUGUUCAGAACAACCCCUGCUGUGUCACCUCUGCCCCCUGUCCCCUGAAGACAAUGGAGACAUCACAGGUCCCUUGAUCAAACACCUUUACACAGCUCUAAAAACAUGUGUUAGGAAGCACACACGCAAUAAAAUUAAAUAGAGUUUUAUUAAAAAUUCUGUUUGGGGGUUUUCCAAUUGCCACAAUCUUUUCAUCUUUUCAAAAGUAGCAAAACGUAUUUUCAGGGAGUUGAUUUCCGGCAGAAUCCUGGGUUGUGGCUCCUUUGUGAGGUCAGUAGCCUUUUGUGUCUGGAAUGGCGUUGAGCCCCGUGAGCUUUGGAUGGGCAGGUGAGUGCACAGCCGGUGUCUACUUCAAAAAUUAUUAUCCUGUUAAUCCCAGAGGGAAGAGAAAACUGUGGUAAAGCUUUAGAAAUAUGUCUUGCCAUUGGCCUCAUGUUCUACUCUCCCACAGAUCCUGAGUGGUCCCUGUAUUUUGACUUCAGCAUCCUUUGAAGUGAGGCAACUGGACAGGAUCUGGAUGCACACCACUGAGAAAGCACACAAGGAAUAUUACCAUCUCUUAAGGAAGUUAUAAGCAAGUGAAUGGCUGUAUACUCAGCAAGAGAAAUGCUUAAAAUAAAAGGUCUCUGCCCUUGUGGCAGGAUUUAAGCAUGGCAAAUGGGUGAACCAUCUGAGAGCAUGCAAAGCCCUCCAGCAUUGCCAGGUCAGACAUCAAGGAUCCUACAAAAACAAAACAAAACAAAACAAAACAAACAAAAAAAAAAACCAGUGGCUGUUGUCUGCAAAUUCAGACCGGAUGUUACAUAAGGAAGGACAGCAGCUGGUGGAUGGGUGAAGUGACUGUGCUCCGAUCUCUGAACACUGGCUCCAGUUAGGACGCCAAGGCUAGAAGAUCUCUCUACAACCUUCCCCGGUACAUGGAUUAUGAGCAACUAAUUAACUCCUUUGAGAUUUGUGAGUCUAGAAAUAAAAGAAGAAAUGAGGCAGAACUGGAAGACUUGAAUAACCAGAAUUUGGGGUGAGGAGGGGAUAACAUGAAAGGCCGAUGAGGGUAAAAUAAGGCUGGCUGGCGCACUUGUCCAGGGAAAUCGCCAGAGGAGCGGGCGCAUAACCGUCUGGCAUAUCCGUCACCAAGGAGCUUAAGGAGUUACAGCUGGAGACUGUCUUUUAUGUAUUAACAAAAGGGCAGGUGUUUGUAGGUGUGCUGCGGAGGAGGCUCCUGACGGUUCUUAUUCUGUGGAUUGUGUUUAACUUGUCACCUUGUCAUCUGUCUUUUGUGUUUCUUACAUGCCUCCUGUAACAUUUUCACCCUGUUCUACUGACUCCUUUGUUCCGGGAGAUAUCGAGGGUCAUCAAGCUUUCAGAGAUUGUGAAGACACUGUCAUUUCGUCAGAAAGAUCCGUCAUGGUACUUGUCCUCUAACACAGAAAAACUUCUCUGUGAAGUUAGACUGUUGCAGACACUCUCUGCUCCCUUCUCCUGGAAACCAGAAGUCUCUGCUCGCCUGUCCCGGAUCCUGGAAAUCUCUUCUCGGGACUCCGGGGUCCAGUAAGGCAACGACAGGAUGGAGCACCCAGUCUGCCCAGAGGAAGUUUCUCUUCCAAACAGUUUACAUGAUGGACGUUGACAUAUGAGAGCUUCACUCCCUCCCACCCUUUGGCUUGUUUACUUGGCUACUUCUGUGGUCAUCCUUUGACCAUUAGGCUUAGUGGCUUUCCAGUAAGACACAUACGGAGUUGUCUGUUACUCAAAAUAAAGAAAUAAACAAACAGCUUUAAGACGGCACCGUUGUUUCAGGUACUGUACUUAGUGGCUGUCCUUAAUGUAUGUCAAUUUAAGUUCUUUUGAGUUGAAACAAGAAUUAAAAACCUCUUCCCCCCCC